rnacentral:rRNA from 1 species
GUUGAACGCUGGCGGCAUGCCUUACACAUGCAAGUCGAACGGCAGCACGGGAGCAAUCCUGGUGGCGAGUGGCGAACGGGUGAGUCAAGUAUCGGAACGUGCCCAGUCGUGGGGGAUAACGUAGCGAAAGUUACGCUAAUACCGCAUACGAUCUAUGGAUGAAAGCGGGGGAUCGCAAGACCUCGCGCGAUUGGCUCGGCCGAUAUCAGAUUAGGUAGUUGGUGGGGUAAAGGCUCACCAAGCCGACGAUCUGUAGCUGGUCUGAGAGGACGACCAGCCACACUGGGACUGAGACACGGCCCAGACUCCUACGGGAGGCAGCAGUGGGGAAUUUUGGACAAUGGGCGCAAGCCUGAUCCAGCCAUGCCGCGUGCAGGAUGAAGGCCUUCGGGUUGUAAACUGCUUUUGUACGGAACGAAAAGGUUUGACUUAAUACGUUGGACUCAUGACGGUACCGUAAGAAUAAGCACCGGCUAACUACGUGCCAGCCGCCGCAGUAA